rnacentral:rRNA from 1 species
CCUACGGGGGGCAGCAGUCGAGAAUCAUUCACAAUGGGGGAAACCCUGAUGGUGCGACGCCGCGUGGGGGAAUGAAGGUCUUCGGAUGGUAAACUCCCGUCAUGUGGGAGCAAAGUAAAAAGAUAGUACCACAAGAGGAAGAGACGCCUAACUCUGUGCCAGCAGCCGCGGUAAUACAGAGGUCGCAAGCGUUGUCCGGAAUCACUGGGCGUAAAGCGUGCGUAGGCUGUUUCGUAAGUCGUGGGUGAAUGGCGCGGGCUCAACUCGCGGACGGCACAUGAUACUGGGAGACUAGAGUAAUGGAGAGGGUACCGGAAUUCUAGGUGUAGGAGUGAAAUGCGUAGAUAUCGAGAGGAACACUCGUGGCGAAGGCGGGUUCCUGGACAUUAACUGACGCUGAGGCACGAAGGCCAGGGGAGCGAAAGGGAUUAGAUACCCUUGUAGUC